AUGGCAACCACCCUCGCCACUGAUGUUCGCCUCUCCAUUGCGCACCAGACCCGCUUCGUCUUCCGCCUCGCCUCCGCUAUCUCAUCCAACCCCAAGUCUACUGUCAACAAUGCCGCAUUCUCUCCGGUCUCCCUCCACGUGGCGCUCAGCCUCAUCACCGCUGGCGCGGGGGGCGCCACCCGCAACCAACUUGCCACGACACUGGGAGAAGGCGAGGUUGAGGGACUCCACACACUCGCUGAGCAGGUGGUGCAGUUCGUCCUCGCCAACGCGUCUAACAUCGGCAGCCCACGCGUCGCCUUCGCCAACGGCGUAUUCGUGGACGCGUCGCUGCAGCUCAAGCCAUCCUUCCAGGAGCUCGCACUGUGCAAGUACAAGGCCGAGGCCCAGUCCGUAGACUUCCAAACUAAGGUGACGAAUUUUCCUGUGAGGCCCGAAGCCCAUCACAGGAAUAUAAAUUUUCCUAACGGGCUAAAUUUGGCUCCCAGGAAAAUUGACUAUUUUCCUGAGAGUCCAGCCCACAGGAAAAAUAUUUGA
rnacentral:rRNA from 1 species